rnacentral:rRNA from 1 species
CCUACGGGUGGCAGCAGUGAGGAAUAUUGGUCAAUGGGCGGAAGCCUGAACCAGCCAAGUAGCGUGCAGGAUGACGGCCCUACGGGUUGUAAACUGCUUUUAUACGGGAAUAACGCGCCUUACGUGUAGGGUUUUGCAUGUACCGUAUGAAUAAGGAUCGGCUAAUUCCGUGCCAGCAGCCGCGGUAAUACGGAAGGUCCGGGCGUUAUCCGGAUUUAUUGGGUUUAAAGGGAGCGUAGGCCGCAUGUCAAGCGUGCUGUGAAAUGUCGGGGCUCAACCCGUGCCUUGCAGCGCAAACUGGCGUGCUUGAGUCCGCGGAAAGCAGGCGGAAUGCGUCGUGUAGCGGUGAAAUGCUUAGAUAUGACGAAGAACCCCGAUUGCGAAGGCAGCUUGCUGCAGCGCAACUGACGCUGAUGCUCGAAAGCGCGGGUAUCGAACAGGAUUAGAUACCCUUGUAGUC